rnacentral:rRNA from 1 species
GAGUUUGAUCCUGGCUCAGAAUGAACGCUGGCGGCGUGCUUAACACAUGCAAGUCGGACGAGAAAGGCUGAUUUCGGUUGGCCGAGUAAAGUGGCGCACGGGUGAGUAACGCGUAGGCAACCUACCCUUGUAUUGGGGAUAACCCUGCGAAAGUGGGGCUAAUACCGGAUGAGACCCUAUUCUGGAGGGGAUAGGGUGAAAGUCGGCCGCUCGGAGAAGCUGACGUACGAGGAUGGGCCUGCGUCCUAUCAGCUGGUUGGUGGGGUAGCGGCCUACCAAGGCGACGACGGGUAGCUGGUCUGAGAGGAUGAUCAGCCACACUGGCACUGGAACACGGGCCAGACUCCUACGGGAGGCAGCAGUGAGGAAUUUUGCGCAAUGGCCGCAAGGCUGACGCAGCAACGCCGCGUGGGUGAUGAAGGCCUUCGGGUCGUAAAGCCCUGUCAGGUGGGAAGAAAGGCCUGGAGAGGAAAGGUUUCAGGUUUGACGGUACCACCAGAGGAAGCACCGGCUAACUCCGUGCCAGCAGCCGCGGUAAUACGGAGGGUGCGAGCGUUAUUCGGAAUUACUGGGCGUAAAGCGCGUGUAGGCGGGGAGACAAGUCUGAUGUGAAAGCCCUGGGCUUAACCUGGGAAGUGCAUUGGAAACUGUUUUUCUUGAGUACUGGAGAGGAAGGGGGAAUUCCCGGUGUAGAGGUGAAAUUCGUAGAGAUCGGGAGGAAUACCAGUGGCGUAGGCGCCCUUCUGGACGGUAACUGACGCUGAGACGCGAAAGCGUGGGGAGCAAACAGGAUUAGAUACCCUGGUAGUCCACGCUGUAAACGAUGAUCACUAGGUGUAGCGGGUACUCAUUUCUGCUGUGCCGCAGCUAACGCGUUAAGUGAUCCGGCUGGGGGA